rnacentral:rRNA from 1 species
CUUACACAUGCAAGUCGAACGGCAGCGCGGGGCAACCUGGCGGCGAGUGGCGAACGGGUGAGUAAUAUAUCGGAACGUACCCUGGAGUGGGGGAUAACGUAGCGAAAGUUACGCUAAUACCGCAUACGAUCUAAGGAUGAAAGUGGGGGAUCGCAAGACCUCAUGCUCGUGGAGCGGCCGAUAUCUGAUUAGCUAGUUGGUGGGGUAAAGGCCUACCAAGGCAUCGAUCAGUAGCUGGUCUGAGAGGACGACCAGCCACACUGGAACUGAGACACGGUCCAGACUCCUACGGGAGGCAGCAGUGGGGAAUUUUGGACAAUGGGCGCAAGCUGAUCCAGCAAUGCCGCGUGAGUGAAGAAGGCCUUCGGGUUGUAAAGCUCUUUUGUCAGGGAAGAAACGGUCUACUCUAAUACAGUGGGCUAAUGACGGUACCUGAAGAAUAAGCACCGGCUAACUACGNGCCAGC